GACAGAGGGUGCAAACGUUGUUCGGAAUUACUGGGCGUAAAGCGUGUGUAGGCGGCCACGUAAGUCGGAUGUGAAGCCCAGGCUCAACCUGGGAAGUGCACUCGAUACUGCGUGGCUUGAGUAUCGGAGAGGUUGGUGGAAUUCUCGGUGUAGAGGUGAAAUUCGUAGAUAUCGAGAGGAACACCGGUGGCGAAGGCGGUGGUCUGGGCCGGCACUGACGCUGAGGAGCGAAAGCGUGGGUAGCAAACAGG
rnacentral:rRNA from 1 species